CGGGUGUGGCGGUAUUGGUAGUACGCAAGGGAUUUAAAAUCCCUCAGACUUCGGUCUUGUGAGUUCGAAUCUCAUCACCCGUAC
rnacentral:tRNA from 1 species